rnacentral:lncRNA from 1 species
CCGAGUCCCGGAGUUCACCGGGAAGGUCACGUGACCGCCCAGCCCUCUCACCUGGAAAGGAGGGCAUUGGCCAUGCCCGGUCUCCACCUGUCCCGGGAGCGCUGGGAAAGGCCAAAGCUGGGUCCCGCUCCCCACGUCUUCCGCCUUGGGGACCCCGGUGUGCACUUCUGACCGAGGCGCAAUGUUGCCCGGGUUAUCGCGUAAAGUGGAGCCGUGGAGAGGCCCCGCCCCCACACCCCUGAGAUCGGUGUUCCCAGCUUUGCUAAGUUUCUGAGUUUGUCCCGUUUUCAGGCCGGGUCCCAGGGCCCGGUUUCCCCCUGCGGUCCAGGCGGGGGCCCGGGUGGCGGGUGCUGGGGGCCCUCCCUCUUUCUCCUGACCGUGACCCUUCGCCCCUUCCCCUCUGCGCUUCUCACGAUCCUGCCCAUUCCCUUGGCCCACUUCCCUUUCUAAAGGAGAAGGGCAAGGGCAGGUCACCAGGAACCCGGCGUCUCCCUUUUCCCCCUGCCCUGCAGCGGGAGGAGAGCGGAGGCCAGGCCGCAGCAGGGGCCGGUGCCCCCGGCCGAGACGCGGGCCUGCGCGCGCCCCCCCGCCGCCGCCCCCACCCCGACCCCGGCGCGCUCCGGGUGCCUGGGGGAGGGUCCCCGGAGCCGGCCGCCUGCGGCGCGCACGUGGGACGACCAGACCAAGCAGAGGGGCGCGCAGGCCCGGCAGCUCCCACCCCGCGCCCCUGCCCGCGCUGCCUGGCCAGGGCAGCCGAACGGCUCCGAAGGGCGUUAAAACCGAGAGCGGGAAAAGGAGCCUGUCCUGGCCCCCGACGCAGCAAACUGAAACCUGACACUCUUGUCACUGAGAGGCAGGGAGAGAAAGGGGAAGAGAGAGAGAGAAAGGAAAAGAAGGAAGGAGGGCGAGAGGAGGGUGUGUGCGCGCACACGACUCCCGGGGCCCGCGCGGAGCACUGGACGCAGCCACAGCAGAUUUCAGAUGCUGGUGAAGAAUUCCUUGGUUAUAGCCUGAGGAGAUACCUGAGGACUUAGUGAAACUGAAGAGGUUCUUCAAAAGUCCAACUCUCACUCUGGGGAUAUAACUCCUACUGUAACUGCAUUACUGAGGUAAAUAGUUAUCUAUCUCUUCUUAAAAUUUCCUCUCACUAUCUAAUACACCAUAGAAUAAUUGAGUGCUAGAGCUGGAAGGAACCUUGGAUAUAAUCUAAUCCAAAUAGUACCAAACUUUCCAUUUUUGUUAUACCUCUGUGCCUGUGUUUACUUAAUAUUUUUCUUAAAACUGAUUGACUUUUUAAAAAACACUUUAGUCAACCUAUACCAUCACAGUCAUGACAUAAUGGUUGGAUGUGUUAAUACACAGUUUAAAACUACUACUUAUCAAAAUAAUUUGUAAAGGGUUGGAUGUGUUAAUACACAGUUUAAAACUACUACUUAUCAAAAUAAUUUGUAUUUGUUUGUGAACACCUGAAAAUCAGACUAUGCAUCAUGAUGGUAUACAUCCCAUACUUUGGGAAACACUAAUUUAAUCCAAUUCACUCUUUUUUUAAAAAAAAAAAAUUUAUUUAUUUAUUUAUUUAUUUCUCUCCCACCCCCCGCCCCCCGCCUCGAUUGUCUGUUCUCUACGUCUGUUUGCUGCAUCUUCUUCUUUGUCCGAUUCUGUUGCUGUCAGCGGCUCGGGAAUCUGUGUUUCUUUUUGUUGCGUCAUCUUGCUGUGUCAGCUCUCCAUGUGUGCAGUGCCGUUCCUGGGCAGGCUGAACUUUCUUUCAUGCUGGGCGGCUUCCUUAUGGGGUGCACUCCCGUGGGGCUCCCCUACGCAGGGGACACCCCUGUGUGGCAUGGCACUCCUUGCGCGCAUCAGCACUGUGCAUGGGCCAGCUCCACACAGGUCAAGGAGGCCCAGGUUUUGAACCGUGGACCUCCCAUGUAGUAGACGGAUGCCCUAACCACUGGGCCAAGUCCGCUUCCCCAAUUCACUCUUUUUACUGGUGAGGAAACUGAGGCCCAUAGACAUGAAAUGAUUUGCCCAAGGUCUCACAGUGAAAGAGUGAUACUAAUUUGAGACUAUUCCUGAAGUCUCCUAAUUUAAAGUCUCAAUUCUUUCCAAUAUAAUCUACUAUGCCUCUUGUUUUGGUGUGUAUGCUUUCAAGUAGUCAGAAACAAUUCUUACAUAUAAUUUAAAUAGAUACCCCAUAUAAAAUGCUAAACAUAAUGCUUGGCAAAAGGAGAAUUUUAAUAAAUUCAAGUUUUCUAUAUCCCUGCUUACUACCAACCUUGAAUAGUUCCUCUCUGGAAGCUUUUAGAAUCUUUUUUAAAAUACCAACUAAUUUAUUGUCUUGUGUGAGGCAACAAGUCUUUUCAAUCUGGAGACUCAGGUCUUUAAUUCUGUGAUAAUUUCUUGCAUCCUUUAUUUAUUUCCUCCCAUCUCUUUAAUCUUUUUUUUUUUUUAAUUUUUUUCUCCUUCUAAAAUAGCUAUUAUUUGGGUGAUGAAUUUCCUGAACCAACAAUCCUCUCAUUUUCUUCUCUCCUAUUUUGUCCUGUCUUCUGAAAGUUUUCUUCAACUUUAUCUUGUAAUAUUUCUGUGUAAAUUUUUAAUGUUCAGCUUUCGUAUUUUUUUAAUUUCUAAAAACCCUUCAUUUUUAUAUAAUUAAUUUUGUUAUUAAAGACACUUUUAGAUUACAUAAAUGUUACAUAAAAAAUAUAAGGGAUUCCCAUAUACCCCACUCCCUCCCCUUCACACUUUCCCACGUUAAUAACAUCCUUCAUUAGUGUGGUACAUUUGUUCCAAUUGAUGAACACAUAUUGAAGC